rnacentral:rRNA from 1 species
UGAGGCGUGAUGACGAGGCACUACGGUGCUGAAGCAACAAAUGCCCUGCUUCCAGGAAAAGCCUCUAAGCAUCAGGUAACAUCAAAUCGUACCCCAAACCGACACAGGUGGUCAGGUAGAGAAUACCAAGGCGCUUGAGAGAACUCGGGUGAAGGAACUAGGCAAAAUGGUGCCGUAACUUCGGGAGAAGGCACGCUGACACGUAGGUGAAGUGAUUUACUCAUGGAGCUGAAGUCAGUCGAAGAUACCAGCUGGCUGCAACUGUUUAUUAAAAACACAGCACUGUGCAAACACGAAAGUGGACGUAUACGGUGUGACGCCUGCCCGGUGCCGGAAGGUUAAUUGAUGGGGUCAGCGCAAGCGAAGCUCCUGAUCGAAGCCCCGGUAAACGGCGGCCGUAACUAUAACGGUCCUAAGGUAGCGAAAUUCCUUGUCGGGUAAGUUCCGACCUGCACGAAUGGCGUAAUGAUGGCCAGGCUGUCUCCACCCGAGACUCAGUGAAAUUGAACUCGCUGUGAAGAUGCAGUGUACCCGCGGCAAGACGGAAAGACCCCGUGAACCUUUACUAUAGCUUGACACUGAACAUUGAGCCUUGAUGUGUAGGAUAGGUGGGAGGCUUUGAAGUGUGGACGCCAGUCUGCAUGGAGCCGGCCUUGAAAUACCACCCUUUAAUGUUUGAUGUUCUAACGUGGACCCGUGAUCCGGGUUGCGGACAGUGUCUGGUGGGUAGUUUGACUGGGGCGGUCUCCUCCUAAAGAGUAACGGAGGAGCACGAAGGUUGGCUAAUCCUGGUCGGACAUCAGGAGGUUAGUGCAAUGGCAUAAGCCAGCUUGACUGCGAGCGUGACGGCGCGAGCAGGUGCGAAAGCAGGUCAUAGUGAUCCGGUGGUUCUGAAUGGAAGGGCCAUCGCUCAACGGAUAAAAGGUACUCCGGGGAUAACAGGCUGAUACCGCCCAAGAGUUCAUAUCGACGGCGGUGUUUGGCACCUCGAUGUCGGCUCAUCACAUCCUGGGGCUGAAGUAGGUCCCAAGGGUAUGGCUGUUCGCCAUUUAAAGUGGUACGCGAGCUGGGUUUAGAACGUCGUGAGACAGUUCGGUCCCUAUCUGCCGUGGGCGCUGGAGAACUGAGGGGGGCUGCUCCUAGUACGAGAGGACCGGAGUGGACGCAUCACUGGUGUUCGGGUUGUCAUGCCAAUGGCACUGCCCGGUAGCUAAAUGCGGAAGAGAUAAGUGCUGAAAGCAUCUAAGCACGAAACUUGCCCCGAGAUGAGUUCUCCCUGAGACUUUAGGUCUCCUGAAGGAACGUUGAAGACGACGACGUUGAUAGGCCGGGUGUGUAAGCGCAGCGAUGCGUUGAGCUAACCGGUACUAAUGAACCGUGAGGCUUAACCUUACA